GCGCAGGAGGAGGACCCAGAAGCGGGCUCUGCCUGGGCUUGCCUGGGCUUGUUCAGAGCCGGGCUGCUUUCCUCAAUGACCGCGCAGAUCCGGGGGUAUUUCGAGAUUUUGCGGGAGCCCUGCAGCCAAGCCCCGGGGAGGAGGGGGCUGGAAGCCCGCGCGACAUGCUCGCCCCGCGCCACGGUGAGCGCAGGGCAGGCACAGGUGGCUCCUGAAAUUCGGGAGAAACAGGGGUGCUGGCUGCCCCUCUGGGAAAGCUGGUUCCCCUUGACCUGGACUGACGAUUUGAGGCUGAAAACAUCCAAGUAAGUCUUUCGUGGCCUUGUCCCUGAGGUCUCGCACUCUUUUAUUUUAUUUUAUUUUAUUUUAUUUUAUUUUAUUUUUUUACCUUGUAUUUAGGCUGCUUUAUUUUUAUUUCUUUAAAUUUUACUUGGUCAACAUACAGUGCAGUAUUGGUUUCUGGAGUAGAAUUCAGUGAUUCAUCACUUAAAUACAACACCCAGUGCUCAUCCCGACAAGUGCCCUCCUUAAUCCCCGUCGCCCAUCUAGCUCCUCCCCCACACCCCUCCCUCCAGCAACCCUCAGUCUGUUCUCUGUCAUUUCCCUCUCCUCCCCCCUUAUAUAUGGUUACCUGUUUUCUUUCUUAAGUUCCAUAUGUGAGUGAGAUCAUAUGGUAUUUGUUUUUCUCUGACUUAUUUCACUUAGCAUAAUACACUCUAGCUCCACCCACGUCGUUGCAAGUGGCAAGAUUUCAUUCUUGUUGAUGGCUGAGUAAUAUUCCACUGUCUAUAUCUAUAUACCACAUUUUCUUUAUCCUUUCAUCAGUUGUGGACAUUCGGGCCCUCUCCAUAGUUUGGCUAUUGUUGAUAAUGCUACUAUAUACAUUGGGGUCCAUGUGUCCCUUUGAAUCUGUAUUUUUUAUCCUUUGGUUAGAUACCUAGUAGUACAAUUGCUGAGUCCUAGGGAAGCUCUAUUUUUAACUUUUUGAGGAACCUCCAUAUUGUUCCCCAGAGUGGCUGCACCAGUUUGCAUUCCCACCAACAGUGUAAGAG
rnacentral:lncRNA from 1 species